UUCAGUGGCUUAGUUGGUUUAAGCGCCGGUCUAGCGAACACGGAGUCGUGGGUUCGUAUCCCACCCGAA
rnacentral:tRNA from 1 species